UACAGAGGUCUCGAGCGUUAGGCGGAAUCACUGGGCUUAAAGCGUGUGUAGGUGGAUCGUUAAGUACCUUGUGAAAUCCCACGGCUUAACCGUGGAACUGCUUGGUAUACUGGCGGUCUUGAGCCAGCUAGGGGCUACCGGAACAAAUGGUGGAGCGGUGAAAUGCGUAGAUAUCAUUUGGAACGCCAAUGGUGAAAACAGGUAGCUGGGGGUGUGCUGACGCUGAGACACGAAAGCCAGGGGAGCAAACGGG
rnacentral:rRNA from 1 species